rnacentral:rRNA from 1 species
UACGGGAGGCAGCAGUGGGGAAUAUUGCACAAUGGGCGAAAGCCUGAUCCAGGCAUGCUGCGUGUGUGAAGAAGGUCUUCGGAUUGUAAAGCACUUUAAGUUGGGAGGAAGGGCAUUAACCUAAUACGUUAGUGUUUUGACGUUACCGACAGAAUAAGC